rnacentral:rRNA from 1 species
AGAGUUUGAUCCUGGCUCAGAACGAACGCUGGCGGCAGGCCUAACACAUGCAAGUCGAACGAGAAGCCACCUUCGGGUGGUGGACAGUGGCAGACGGGUGAGUAACGCGUGGGAACGUGCCUUUCGGUUCGGAAUAACCCAGGGAAACUUGGGCUAAUACCGGACACGCCCUUCGGGGGAAAGAUUCAUUGCCGAAAGAUCGGCCCGCGUCGGAUUAGCUAGUUGGUGGGGUAAUGGCUCACCAAGGCGACGAUCCGUAGCUGGUCUGAGAGGAUGACCAGCCACACUGGGACUGAGACACGGCCCAGACUCCUACGGGAGGCAGCAGUGGGGAAUAUUGGACAAUGGGCGCAAGCCUGAUCCAGCCAUGCCGCGUGGGUGAAGAAGGCCUUAGGGUUGUAAACCCCUUUCAGCGGGGAAGAUAAUGACGGUACCCGCAGAAGA